GAGGGUGCAGAGAGUGUCAGGAAGAGCGAGGGUGUAGCAGGGAAAGUACUGGUCUGUGCUGCGUGUGGGAAGUGACUUUAGUGGCGGCGUGAAGGCGAGGACACGAGUGAGGUGCUGGCAGGCUGACUGAGGGUGAGCACUGCCCUGAGUGACAAUGAUGGAUGAAGAUUGAGUGGCUGGUAAUGAUGAUGUCCUCUGCCGCUCUCUUACCUCAUAAAACUAUUACAUUUCUUGGAACGUCAUUGUACGACAGAGUAGCCAGCUAAACAGCCGAGCCCUCAGCGGGCGCCUCCCGCCGGACAAGGGACCCUACAUCCAACACUACCUCAUUGAGAUCCACAACGAAGGCUCCUCCUACUCACUCCAAGCUUCUGAAAACCGCUUCGACACCCUUCCUUCGCUCAUCACCUAUUAUUCUCAGUGCUGCGAAGAGUUGCUGGCUCAGCUCAAGCUUCCUCGCACCAUCCAGGAGGCCAAGACCCGCCAUGAACUCGGCUCUCUCUCGCUGCUCGGACAAGGUGGUGCAUCACAGCGUCAGACUCACAGAGGAUGUGUAGCCGAGGCAAUGACACGUGGACGGCGCUGAUGGCGGCCAGAACCUCUUGGGCGUCUUGGUCACACACGGCCAGGCUGAGCACCCCCAGGUCCCGCCACUCCUGCAGCAGCUGUGUGCCGGCACCACUUAAGUGACCCAUGAACCUCUCAAGAAACAGUUGGCCAAAAUAAUAAUGGCAGAAGUAAGACUAAGCUUUGAAGAAAGAACAUGUCAUAAAGUGUUACUGGAGGCACGAAAAUGUCAAAAGUGCAAAGACAAUUCACAAGACACUUUGACAGGGAUCCACCAAGGUGACGCGCCAUUGCUCGCAUCACAGCUAAUACCGAACGGCCUCGAAACACUGAGCCAAAGGGAUGCCGCUCAGCCUGCAGCCAGUGUGGCGGCGUAUCUUGUGUGGUGCGCGUGUGUAUCGCAUUGUGUUCCUCCUCAUAGACUUAGUGGUGGUCAAGAUAACCAGGAUUGGCCAAGCCCUCCCUGAAGUGUGCUACCAGUAGUGUACCAGACAGGACGCCAUCUUGUUGUGUAAGUCAGAGACGCCUCCUAUCACCCCAAUCUCUCCCUCCCCACCACCCGCCAGCCACUCCUUCCCACUUCCGCCAGCAGCAGCUACUGGCCGCCCACCAGCCAGCAGCCCCUUCACGGCCACUACCUGCCAGCACGCCUUCCUGCCCUUACCCCCUCAUAGUUCAUAGUUCAUAGUUUUAUUGACCACAACAUCUUGCACUUACAGUAAUAAUUACAUAACAAUAUUAAUUUAUGAGUCCAACAUAACUCAGUACUAUAAUAAAUCUUAUUCAUUACAGAAAAGAAACAGGUCACCAAUAUGACAACUAAUGUUACAUAAUCCUAAUACCUAAAUAUGUCACAAAUUGUGGGAAUAUAAGUUCAAGAUUGAGCUUAUAAUAAUACAUAGUCUUGUAUUAUCAAAGGAGCCACUGAAUAGUUCCUGUAGUGUAGAAUAUGUAUAUGUGUCACGGAUGUGUUGUGAGAGGGGACAUUGCUCGAUGACAUGAACUUCUGUCUGUACUUGUCCGCAGGGACACAGCCGCUCCUCUAGAGGUAGGCGGCCACGCCCCCGUCUUUUCCACCUGCCCACCUCAACUGCUAACCAAUGUGCCGACAGACGAAAUCUUGUGAAAUUAAUUCUUAGAUCUUCUCUGAUUCCCUUUUUGCGGGUGUAGAUAUCAUGAACCGAUAGACUGGGAUUUAUUGCUUUGUAUGUUACUCUCCUGGAGGAAUCUGAGGCAGAUUCAGUGACCUCACUGAACGUUUCCCUUUGUGUCUCACAACACAAGGGGGUAGUCACAGCCUGCCCUCUAAAGACAACUCUCUUCCUCCACACAAAACUACAAGCACCUAAUAACACACACACCCUUCACUCAAAAAAUUUUAAAAUCAUGGCGACUCCUACACCAGCCUCGGAGUCCCCAUCUGGGGAGGGGACCAUAAAUGUCCCCAGGUCAGACUGCCUUUCCGUCGACGACCGUAAGUGUCUUGACACCCCCCUCAACUUUUUCUUCAUUAACUUCUGCAACAUUCGCGGUCUAAGAUCUAAUUUUCAAUCUGUAGAACACCACCUCUCCUCUUCUAAACCUCAUCUUCUUUUCCUCACUGAAACUCAGGUGUCUGAGGCAACUGACAGUAGCCCCUUUUCUGUUCCCUCCUACUUUCUCUAUCCACAUUUUCGAUCCAAAGCUGGAUGCUGCGUUUAUGUGCGCAAUGACUUAACCUGCUCUCGUGCCCACGCUCUUGAAUCUUCCGAGUUUUCCACCAUCUGGCUUCGACUACAGAGUCAUUCUCAUACUAAAUUUAUCUGUGCUGUAUACCUCUCUCCUAACUCCUCUGACUAUAAGAAAUUCUUUGACUACUUAACUUCCAAAGUGGAGCACAUUCUGACCCUCUUCCCUUUUGCAGAGAUCUCCAUUCUUGGAGACUUCAAUGUUCACCACCAGCUUUGGCUUUCCUCUCCCUUCACUGACCAUCCUGGUGAA